CCUAAGGUAGCGAAAUUCCUUGUCAGGUAAGUUCUGACCCGCACGAAUGGCGUAACGAUUUGGGCACUGUCUCAACAGCCAACCCGGCGAAAUUGUAGUACCGGUGAAGAUGCCGGUUUCCCGCAACUAGACGGAAAGACCCCAUGGAGCUUCACUGUAGCUUGAUACUGGACUUCGAUAUUCCAUGUACAGGAUAGGUGGGAGGCUUGGAAGCAUGUGCGCCAGCAUAUGUGGAGCCGCCCUUGGGAUACCACUCUUGGGAUAUUGGAGUUCUAACCUGCGGCCAUGAAUCUGGUCGGGGGACACUGUCAGGUGGGCAGUUUGACUGGGGCGGUCGCCUCCCAAAAGGUAACGGAGGCGCUCAAAGGUUCGUUCAGCACGGAUGGAAACCGUGCAUUGAGUGUAAACGCAUAAACGAACUUGACUGCGAGACUGACGGGUCGAGCAGGAACGAAAGUUGGAGUUAGUGAUCCGGCGGUAUGUGAAUGGAAAUGCCGUCGCUCAACGGAUAAAAGCUACCCUGGGGAUAACAGGCUGAUCUCCCCCAAGAGUCCACAUCGACGGGGAGGUUUGGCACCUCGAUGUCGGCUCAUCGCAUCCUGGGGCUGAAUUCGGUCCCAAGGGUUUGGCUGUUCGCCAAUUAAAGCGGUACGCGAGCUGGGUUCAGAACGUCGUGAGACAGUUCGGUCCCUAUCUGUUGCGGGCGUAGGAAAUUUGAACGGAGCUGUCCUUAGUACGAGAGGACCGGGAUGGACAAACCUCUGGUGCACCAGUUGUUCUGCCAAGGGCAUAGCUGGGUAGCUAAGUUUGGACGAGAUAAACGCUGAAGGCAUCUAAGCGUGAAACUCCCCGUAAGAUAAGAUUUCCCAUUCUUCGGAAGUAAGACCCCACGUAGACUAUGUGGUUGAUAGGUCAGGAGUGGAAGUACAGCAAUGUAUGCAGCGGACUGAUACUAAUAGGUCGAGGGCUUGACCUA
rnacentral:rRNA from 1 species